CCCGCCCCAGCCCGCGGCCCGCCGCGGUGAAGCCAGGCCUGGCCAAACUGGGCGUAGCUCUCACCCCCUCCCACUGGUAUGUCCUCUCAGCCACGUCCGCGCACUCCGCUGCCGCCGAUUCCAGCCUCGGCCCAGCCACCUUUCUCACUCCCCGGGCCCCAUUCAACCACCGUCGACGCUCUUGCUCUCCUCGCACUGGUCUCUGCAAAGGCCUUCCACUGUCAGGCUGGUCCAUCCACCUAAGGGACGUACGGAUCAGACACCCCUCGUCACCUUGAAGACACCGGCCCAGGUUCCAUUCCGUGUCCCUUGCAGAAGCUGCAGGGAACUGGAGGGUAGUGUGGAGACACCUGCAGAGCUGCUGGACAGUCUCACUUCUACAGUCCUCUGUCCGCCUAGCCUCAAGGCCGAGGCUGCCUGCGUGGCCUCGUGUCUGGUUGCCUGCUCCUGGCGCCUGUGCUGCCAAGCAUCGACCCGGAACCGGAGCGUUUUUUGGUUUGGAGCUGUUCCCAGGAGGCCCCUAGAUGACGCGGCUUCUGUCCCAAGUACCGAGAGAAGAUUCCAGGCUAUGUGUUAGGAACUUCGUGCCUAUUAACGUCUGGAACGCGUCAGUUCCUGGAAUUAUUUAAGAGCUUUGCUGUGUCUGAGCAAGGUGCUCAUGAAGUAUCAAGGGCCACAUUCUACCAUGUGAACCUGAAGAAGGGUGUAAGUAAUGUAACCCUGAAAAAACAACCAACUGGCCACUGCUCAUUAAACUGCCAUUUGCUCCAAGAGAGACCAAGAUGGAAAGGGUCUCACCAGGAAGACUCUAAUACAGCAAGGAGGAAGGGCUGAGGAGAUGCUGGUCAGGCUUGUGGCCCAGGAUAAUACUGCAGCUGUGUGGCAGCUUGUCUCCGAGUGGAAGGAUUAUUACCACCGCCUUUUGACGGGAUGAAUCACCCAGGACGGCUUGAAUGGCUAAAGGGAAGUCGUUGUUAGACCUUCCAUUUCCAGAACAGGACUUCCCAGCAUGAUCUGAACAAGGGGAUUACCUUUGCUGUAAUCUUGGUUGAUGUCCUCAGGGUUGCUUCCUGGAAUUUGUGCAGACAAGGACAGCAAAGAGAAACCUAUGUCACAGGCUGGCCUUGCAGGGCUCAGAAUGGAUGGACCAUCAUGCAACCUUUUCACUCAAAAAACAAUCUCAAGAAAGACUCAAUAAUUGUGGUUGAGUCAAUGAACCCAUUUCUCAGCUUGAGACACUGGCUAUGAAACCUGACUUUCAACGUUUAGAUGUCAGAAUAGAGGGACCUGUGUUCUUCUCAGUGUUACAGUGCCUUCACAGUGUCAGACACAUCAGUGGUGAACACUCACCUUUGACAACAGCCUUGGAAAGAAACAUUGCCAGACAGACCUGUGUCUCCGAGUCUCCCGGCAUCUUCAGGAGUAGCCACAUUGUUGUUGGGAUCACAACUCCCCUUCAAAGGGCAGAGCCUGGAGUUGAAUUUGACAUGGCAGGAGAACAAGUGGAUACUUGAAUCCAACUGCAUUUGUAAGUGGUUUCCUUUGCUGUUAAACUUUCUUUCCAAACCAGCAAAAUACCUGACAUGUUUUAACGCAAACAACCUGAAAAUGCUUCAGUUUUCAAAGGUUUCACCUGUUGCUGUGAUGAACAGUUGGAUGAAACUCCUCUUCCCUUCUGUGAAGCUCAUGUACGACGCCCAUGGACAGCCUGGCUCUGGGGCGCACAGCCACCCUCACAAGUUCAAGUGACCACUUUCGAAAACUAAUGGCUAUUGACUCUGGUGGGGAUCUCUAUGAUGUUAUCAGGCCCAUAAAGACUGUGUGGUAUGCGUUUACAUUGUAUCUGGCGAGUGCCUAAUCAGUAUUGAUUUUCCUCAUGUGUAGCACCUAUGUCAAACAACCUAAUAUAUUUAAAUGGAGAUUAUUUCAGUUAUUUAUCUACCAUGUGAUAAGAUCAAAGGCAGUUAACUGUGGGGUAGAUGGGGAAGAUAGCGCAGUGUGCUUGGGCCUUCAGCUAUACCAUUGUACCACUUGACGAUGGCAAACAGCUAAAAAUUAACUUUGUGAGGCAUGCUGAGAUUUGGGGUCUAGGAAGAAUCAGGCAGAUGGAGGAGAGAGAUGCUGGCUUGGGGCUCUGUGAAUGCUUGGCAGAGGGGAGAAGGGCUUUUCAAAGGUCCUGGGAAAUCAUGACUGUGCUUAAUUCACUCCUGGUUUUUUGUUUAGAUAUUUCUGGAGAAAUCAGGAGCAAACUCAGGCUGAUGGAUGUGUGAUUUCCCGGAGGAUCUGUACCCGUUAAUCUUUCGAGUGAGUUCAGAGGGAUCUGCUCCUGAGAUGAGGGGCUUGGCAGGACCAUCUCAGGGGCUGUGUGCUUAUUGCAUUUUACUAAUGGAGCCCCGUUGAUGCCGUGGGAUAAUUGCGACUGAUCUUGCACACACAUCUGAAAGCAAUGGAAGCUGACUUUACUUUUGUUAGCUCCCUUCCCACAGAGAAAUUUCUCAAUAUUUCUCUUUUUCAAAAUACAUCCGAAUGACAGCUUUUGGAAUUCAUUACAGCAUAAGAUACAUACUUAUUGUUUCGAAGUGAUUAACAGCCCAAUUAAAACAACCCGAUGCAAGUUUCCCAAGAAUUAUAAAAGAAAAAAAAUGAAGUCAAAAACACUGAAUCCUAACAUGGGACUUGAACCUCCCAAGUUGAUGAGUUCAUCAGCAACAGACUCGCUGUUCUGACUCCUUCCAGCUCUCUACCCUUCCCAGUACUCCCUGGAAUGCUGACCUGGCUGCAGGGUGACUUUGCUGGUUCCCUUUGACCACUCACCUGCAAAGAUAAUCACAGAGAUCCCUGGGUCCCCUGGUUCCCCUGGUUCCCCUGGGUCCCCUGGGUCCCCUGGGUCCCCUGGUCAUUAAUUCAUAGUGCUGGGGUGCUUCUCAGUGGUAGAAUACUUUUCUACCACACAUCAGUCUAAAUCUUGUCACCCAGCCUUGCUGAACCAAACCUCUCUCACCACCUGCCUCCUUCCACCCUUGCUGCCCCUGGCGUUGCCCUUGCAGCCAAGCUUUCUGAUGGUGGUAGAGUGUGACUGUUACAGUGUGCUUCUGCACAGAGCCACUCGAUAUUAUCGAUCUGUCCUUUCUGUGGCUUCAGGAGCAAGCUGUACUGACAGAGCUCUAUGAGGAUCAGGAGAGUCUACCUGCUCUUCCCCCAGGGUGACAGGCAGAGGUCCCAUGCACAGUGCCUCUCAGGAGCCAUGUGCAGCAGAGGAGGAAGGCACAGGACAGAAGGCCCAGGGCCCCCUUUCCUCCCUUCCUCCAGAGUCCCCCUCCUCCUCCCUUUCUAGGCUUCUUUACUCUUCUGUCCUGCUGAUUCCUCUCUCCUCUCAACUCCUCUUUCAUCCUGAUACCUCCUCCCAUCUCCUUUGUCCUCCUCUGCCUUCUUCCUCUCUCAACUGUCCUCUUCCUCCUUCCUCCCCUGUCCUCCCCCUCCUUCCUCCAUCCUUCCCUGUCCUCCUACUUCCUCCCCCAUCCUCUACAUCCCUUCCUCCUUUUAUCCCCCACGUGUCACUCUCAGUUUUAUUUACUUCCAUGACUCCUCACUCCUGACUCCUCACUCUGACCUCAGUCCUAGACUCUGCCUCACCAUUCCCUUACUGGUGCCAUAGCUUCUACAUGCUAUACUCAGGUGAUUAAUUCACUGGACCCAGAGUGCAGAGAGGAGGUGACCAUUCAGACUCUGGCCAUGGCCCAAAUGCCCUGGCCAGCCUGUGGUCUGUGGUCUUUCUGUGUUUAGAGAGCUGGAGGUUGUAUAGAUGGUCCUGGGCAGAGCCAUCUGUUGGUGGUUCAUGCUAGGAAUCCUUUUGCAGCCACAGAACCAUACUUGGCCUAUACUGGUGACCCACAGUAGUCAGAUCCCUGCUCAGUGUGGAGGAUGAAGCCCUCCCUGUGGGAGGCAGGGAUCAUCUGCUCAGCUGGGAGGAGGCUGAGGAGCUGUCAAAUCUGAUGGUAUUUAAGGCCAGGUUUUUGUCCUCAGGGUUUAACUUCUUGCUUCCCCUCACUCAGAGAUGGGAAAUUUAUGCAGAUAUGUGUCAAUCAGAUUUCUUUUCUGAAGGCAGUUUCCAGUUUCAGGGAUGCUAGGGAGUGUGGCAGCAUCCUUACUGCUUCCAUAGUCACACUGUUUGUGGAAGUGGAGAGCAGGCCUGCUUGGGCAACCUAGCAAAGCUGGGGGGGGGGACACAGAGGCUCCGGGUGGAAGACAGCAUGGUGAGGUCCACCCAGAACCUUUAUAAAGGACAGCAGCAAAGCCUGCUGCCUCCAUGGGCCUUGCCCCCUGGAUCAGAUUCAUCUAUUAGAUGAAGAAGAAGAAGAAGAAGAAGAAGAAGAAGAAGAAGAAGAAGAAGAAGAAGCAGCCAGAAGGAGAACCAGAAGGAGACCCCUAUCAUCAGGGUCCCAAGUCAGACAUGACUUUAAGGUCAGGGUCUCAUCUACAGUUGGUUUGAAUCACAAUGGAUUAAUCUCGUGAAGCUUGGGGAACACAGCCCAGAUGUGCUUAUAGAAGAAACACUAAAGGACUUCUGGUAGAAUUGAAAUGUUAGGAGAACACACUCAGCAGAGGCAUCCUGGUUGCCGUCAGAGCAAGGAAUAAGGGGAAUCUCAUAAUCUUCCCCACACCUCUAGCUUCCAUUAACCAGAAGCAAGAAGCUGCUGAUUCUGAAGGCAGCAAGGUAAAGGAGAAUAAGAGUGGGCACAGGUGACUGCCACUUUGUGACUGUUCAUACCACUGUCUGGCAACUCAGAGAGCCAGGGCCCCAGCUUGGCUAAGAAAAAUCACAUCUACCUCUCCUGCAGAAAAUGACAUUUCAAUAAUCACAUGCUUGUGAUGCUUAAGUCAAGAUUUAUUAUUAUUGCUAAUAAUAAUAAAAAUGAAGAUUGCUUAUGUUCUCCCUCA